rnacentral:lncRNA from 1 species
GGGUCCUAUAGGGCCGUGGGGUCCUAUGGGGGCUGUGGGGUCCUAUGGGGUCUGUGGGGGCUGUGGGUCCCACCCGUGUCUGUGGGCCCCAUAGGGAUGUGGGGUCUGUGGGGUCCUAUGGGGUCUGUGGGGUCCUAUGGGGUCUGUGGGGUCUGUGGGCUCUGUGGGGCUGUGUGGGCUGUAGGAUCCUAUGGGGUCUGUGGGGUCCUAUGGGGGUCUGUGGGGUCUGUGGGUCCCACCCGUGUCUGUGGGCCCCAUAGGGAUGUGGGGUCUGUGGUGUCCUAUGGGAUCUGUGGGGUCCUAUGGGGUCUGUGGGCUCUGUGGGCUCUGUGGGGCUGUGUGGGCUGUGGGAUCCUAUGGGGUCUGUGGGAUCCUAUGGGGUCUGUGGGGUCUGUGGGUCCCACCCGUGUCUGUGGGCCCCAUAGGGAUGUGGGGGCUGUGGGGUCCUAUGGGGUCUGUGGGGUCUGUGGGUCCCACCCGUGUCUGUGGGCCCCAUAGGGCUGUGGGUUCUGUGGGGUCCUAUGGGGUCCUGAGGGGUCUGUGGGGUCCUAUGGGGUCUGUGGGGUCUGUGGGCUCUGUGGGGCUGUGUGGGCUGUGGGAUCCUAUGGGGUCUGUGGGAUCCUAUGGGGUCUGUGGGGUCUGUGGGUCCCACCCGUGUCUGUGGGCCCCAUAGGGAUGUGGGGGCUGUGGUGUCCUAUGGGGUCCUGUGGGGUCUGUGGGGGUCUAUGGGGUCUGUGGGGUUCUGUGGGUCCUGUGGGGGGUCCUAUGGGGUUUGUGGGUUCCUAUGGGGUCUGUGGGGUUCUGUGGGUCCUGUGGGGUCCUAUAGGGUUCUAUGGGGUUCUGUGGGGUUCUAUGGGGUCCUGUGGGGUUCUGUGGGUCCUGUGGGGUCCUAUAGGGUUCUAUGGGGUUCUGUGGGUCCUGUGGGGUCCUAUAGGGUUCUGUGGUGUCACAGGGUGACGCAGGGACCCCAUAGAGACCCAAAGGGGGACGGCGGCACCCCAUAGGGACCCCAUAGGGACCCCAUAGGGGAACACCCAUAGGGUGACAGCGGGACCCCGUAAAGACCCCAUAGGGGGACACUGGGACCCCAUAGGGACCCCAUAGAGACACCUAUAGGGUGACGCCAGGACCCCAUAGGGACCCUAUAGCGACCUCACGGCUGCCCCAUAUUGGGACGCCCAGAGGGGCCCCAUAGGGGGACUCCCAUAGGGUGACAGCGGGGCACAAAUAGGGUCACCCGUAGGGACCCCAUAGGGGGACUCCCAUAGGGUCAUGUAGGGGCUUUACAUGGGGUCAGCACAUGGGGGACCCUAUAGCGACCCCAUAGCAGCCCCACAGGGACCCCAUAUAAGGACCCUAAAUAGGGACCCCAUAGGGUGACACCGGGACCCCAUAGGGACCCCAUAGGGUGGCGCCAGGACCCCAUAGGGACACCAUAGGGACCCCAUAGGGGGACUCCCAUAGGG